GUGGGUAUAGCUCAGUCGGUAGAGCGCUGGAUUGUGGUUCCAGAUGUCGAGGGUUCAAAUCCCUCUACCCACCCCA
rnacentral:tRNA from 1 species